rnacentral:rRNA from 1 species
UACGUAGGGCGCAAGCGUUGUCCGGAAUUAUUGGGCGUAAAGAGCUCGUAGGUGGUUUGUCGCGUCUGUUGUGAAAGCCCGGGGCUUAACUCCGGGUUUGCAGUGGAUACGGGCAGGCUAGAGGCAGGUAGGGGAGAACGGAAUUCCCGGUGUAGCGGUGAAAUGCGCAGAUAUCGGGAGGAACACCCGUGGCGAAAGCGGCUCUCUGGGACGGUACUGACGCUGAGACGCGAAAGCGUGGGGAGCGAACAGG